GAUGAACGCUGGCGGCGUGCCUAAUACAUGCAAGUCGAGCGAACAGAUGAGGAGCUUGCUCCUCUGACGUUAGCGGCGGACGGGUGAGUAACACGUGGAUAACCUACCUAUAAGACUGGGAUAACUUCGGGAAACCGGAGCUAAUACCGGAUAAUAUAUUGAACCGCAUGGUUCAAAAGUGAAAGACGGUUUUGCUGUCACUUAUAGAUGGAUCCGCGCCGCAUUAGCUAGUUGGUAAGGUAACGGCUUACCAAGGCAACGAUGCGUAGCCGACCUGAGAGGGUGAUCGGCCACACUGGAACUGAGACACGGUCCAGACUCCUACGGGAGGCAGCAGUAGGGAAUCUUCCGCAAAGGGCGAAAGCCUGACGGAGCAACGCCGCGUGAGUGAUGAAGGUCUUCGGAUCGUAAAACUCUGUUAUUAGGGAAGAACAAAUGUGUAAGUAACUAUGCACGUCUUGACGGUACCUAAUCAGAAAGCCACGGCUAACUACGUG
rnacentral:rRNA from 1 species